CAGGGGGCUGAGCUGUCAAUAAUGUCGACUUUUCCCAAAACGGAGGAAAAGAAAAUAACAAUGAUUCCCCUAGUAACGGCGAGUGAACAGGGAAAAGCUCACAGUUGGAACCUAGCUGCCUUAGGUAGUUCGGAUUGUAAACUGAAAAAGUGUUAUCCAGGCUAGCCGAGUAAAUAAGUUUCUUGGAAUAGAACAUCAUGGAGGGUGAGAAUCCCGUCUUUGGCUUGAGCAUAGUCUUUUGUGUUGCACUUUAACGAGUCAGGUUGUUUGGGAAUGCAGCCUAAAGUGGGAGGUAAAUCCCUCCUAAAGCUAAAUAUUGGCGAGAGACCGAUAGCAAACAAGUACCGUGAGGGAAAGAUGAAAAGAACUUUGAAAAGAGAGUUAAACAGUAUGUGAAAUUGCUAAAAGGGAAGCGUUUGAAGACAGACUAGCUUGGUUAUAAUCAGCCUGGAUUUUUCUUGGUGUACUUGUAGCCUAUGCUUGUCAACAGCAGUUUGGUCUGGCUGAAAAAACUGAUAGUAAGGUGGCUCUCUUCGGGGAGUGUUAUAGACUGUUAGAAAAUCAGUUGGACUGGACUGAGGAAUGCAAUGCAGCUUGCCUUGGGGUGAACCAGAUUGGAUAGGAACCAUUGUUCUUUGAAGGUUUGGGUAGCUCUUCGAACUGUAUUUAGGUUGUUGGCUUAAUGUCUUUAAACGGCCCGUCUGACCCGAGCCCCUUGUACCUUUCGUCACUCCU
rnacentral:rRNA from 1 species